AGGGUAUGCCAGGGUAUCACCUGAUCCAGGACACGGCCGGACUACAGGCCUUAACUCCUCUCGCGACUAAAGUCCAAUAGGAGGGAUGGUGGACAGGGAGCCAGUCCAGGAGCAUGUACAUCACUUGCAAAACAUUCGGCCACCGGCAGCAGAUGAUCCUGUGUACACUGUGUCUUGGUGCCUGUGGUCGGGGGUUGGGAGCAGGCUCCAGCUCCUCAGGGACGCAGCGCUGAGACUGUCUGGUGGUCGGCUAGACAGGAUAGAGUAUUUUAUACGCAUGAAUAUGGUUAUCCAUUUCCUGACCCUUGUGAAACUAUUUCAACGCUGUGAUAAAACUGCCAUUUUGCAUUUUAUAAAACUGCCUCAUCUGGUGAUCUGGCCAGGUUUUAAAGGUUGAGGU